rnacentral:rRNA from 1 species
UCGAACCACAUAGAGAUAGACUGCAAACCAACCGAUUUAACAGAUUUUGACUCACUACCAAGUACCAACACGCUCUGGCUAAAAUAAAUCUGCAAUCACAGGGGGGCACAAGCAAAAAAACCUAAAUCAAAGGCAUGAACAAGUAGCUACGUGAAAUAAAAAUAAGAGGCAAGAGUUAAUAAUGGAGCAGAGUCUUUUUGUUGUAGGAUGUGCCAUUAGUUUGAAGCUCCAUUCUUGCACCUUUGCAGAUGAAUCUGAAUUUAAAAUACUGCCUAGUGAGAGAUCUUCAAGGUCAUCCAAUUAAUGAUGAAUUGAUUAGAUUUAGAAAAACUGCAAACAGAUUCAACUCAGCAUCAGGUUAGACUUUGCGUUUGUCACAACUGCAACGAGCAAGAUACUUCUCUGUAAAUUAGGGGGAAACUAGGCUCAGCUAAAGCAUGCUUCAAAUGAGGAGGUAAAAGUUAUAAGAAAGUCUUGUCUGGGAAGGUCAGGUAGACAGCAUCGAUUCCAUUUAUAUCCCUUCCAAGGCGAUGUCUGCAAGAGCUGACAAUUGACAAACUAAGGCAGAGAAAACUUGUCUGGUGUGUUUUAAUUAUAUUUGAUGAGCCACAGAAAAGGAACCGCCAGGGCCACCCGCUAUGCCGUAUAAUUCCAAUUUUCUGGAGUAGGAGCAACAAAUCCAAAUCAGAAUUGUGUGGAGACUAAUUGAACUGUGGAGAAAAGAAAAUGAACAGAUCAUCCAAACACAGGUGAGGAAGAAUAACAAGUCGCUCCCGGUAAGCCGUAUAAUCCCAAUUUCUGGACAACCAUGAACAAAUCUAAUUCAGAACAGACUAAGAACUGUAUGGAUGAAGGAAUAAAAUAGAGGGGGUAAUAAUCAUCCAAACGCAGAUGUUGCUUCCGCUAUGGCGUGUAAUCCAAUUUAUAAUUUCUGGAGAAGCAAAGAAUUCAGAUCAGAAUUGCAUGCCGUUGACUAGUGUGCGAACCAAGAAACUAAAAUUGGGAGGGAUUUAGUAUUUAUUAUCCAAACGCAGAUCGCAGGUUCCAGGUUGGUAGGAGACCCUAAGCUUCAUCACUCAGAAGAUCUGACCAUAUCAUCAGAACAACAACCGGCGAACCGUAACCAACCAAUCAAUCAGAAUAAUCAUGAAUAGAAAUCAAACCUCCACCAAAUCCUCGAGGGCCUCGAAUUGAUCCACCUCGCAGUAACGAAUGAUUGACGGAAUAAACCAGAGCGCUAGGGGAACCAGAAGAUCACGCGGGCCAUAUCCAUUUGAUUUGAAAGCUGGAAUAUAUCACGGACGAACGCAGGUGAUGGAACCAAGGAAGCGAUCUGAACUCGCACGGGACACUGACCUUGCCUCGGCCUCCGGCUCCAUAAUCAGAGCUCCGAUUCCGAAAACCAGGCUCGAACCAACGCACGCGGAUGCGAAUAGGAAUACAAGGAACACAGGAUCCACAGUUGCAAACAGAAUUGGGCACGCGAAACAGACUCUGAUAUAGAUUCGCAAACCAAAUGAAUGAAUCCCCCGAUCGAUCGAUCGAUCGCUUCUCGGGCUCGCACGGAGGCGGAGGAGGCGGGCCGAAUCCCCUGCCUGCGAGCACAGGAGGCAGAGGCGCCGAGGAGCGAAAUCAAACGCGAUUCGAAACGAAUCGAGAUUUUGAUGGACAAGGGGGACGCGAGGAGGCGACUCGGGCGAGAGCAGAGGCGCGGGCAGAACGAAAGCUCCAAAGGAGAAGAGAGGAG